rnacentral:lncRNA from 1 species
CACUUUUGGAAUUCUAGUAGAUCCACCAACAAGUACAACAUCAUCGACACUGCUUUGAUCCAUCUCCGCGUCUUCCAGGCACUUCUCCACAGUAUCCAAACAACUCCUAAAAAGGUCCAAGUUCAAAUCCUCAAAUCUGGCUCGGGUGAUUUUGGUGCUAUAAUCAAUUCCUUCAUACAACGAAUCUAUAUCAAUACUAGUAUUUGUGCCCGCGUUGCUUGGGUUUUGGAGUUAAUAAGAUUUGCCAUAGACAAAAUGAAUUUAAGACGAUUAGAUAUUGUGAUGCAUACUCAGUCGACUACAUGAGUUACAGAGAAACAGUUCGAAUAUUGUCAUAGUUUAUGCAUUACAUAUUCCGAGAAUGAAAAUUUAUUAAGCUUGAAGCCUAAUUGGUUACUGCUGAUGAAUUGCAGUUCAGGUCAGACAUUCCUGACAGAUGUGCUGUUGAUGUAGUGGCUUGUGUGUUGAUGCUUUGGCUUUCUGGUUGUUGUUCCAUUUCUGUGUCCAUCUCCUCCAACUUGAAUCCAUGGCAUAUAUUUGUAGCCCAGUAGAGAUUUGAUUGUUUCAAAACAUUUGCUGCAUGGAUCUCCAUUUUGAUUGUAAAUGUUUGUGUUGCAAGCAUUUUGAAACUUUCUGGGAAGUACUCUUCAGUUGCUUCCUGUGGUAAUAUUAGAAUUGUAACAAAUUUUGAUUUUAAUUAUUUUCGUCGCUACCAAUUAAUUUGUUACCUGUAGAAUUAACUGCCUUGCUCUUUUCCCAAGCAGACUUCUAACCUCUCUGUCUUCCAAUAAGAUUUGAAGAGAACCGGUAGCAUCCAAAGCAAUGACAACCAAUCUAAAUCUAUUUAACGGAAACCGUUUAGAGAUAUGACAUAAAAUACAAUCUUUACAUAUGAUUUUGUUUACCUUAUUUCUGGAUAUGGUACAAUUCUUUGGCAUCUUGCGCAACUGUAGAAUUCAUUGACAAAAUCGACUUCAAAAUCGCAUGAUGUGCAAAUUUUGAAAAACCAUUUCUGUUGGUCGUCGACGUGCAUGAUGGUUACAUGUGCCAGAACUUCUGCCUGCCAUUUACACAUAUAAGUAUCUUAAAAUUGAUGAAUUUUAUAUAAGAUAGUAAUUUUUUUUACCUCAACAGAAUCUUUGUCCAAUGAUUUUAUGGCUUCAACAGUAAGUAGCUCAGCUUUCUUCUUCUUCUCCAUUGCCAUUACUUUCUUUGAGAAAUCAGGUAUAGCUAACCUACAUAUGGAAUUGGAUAAUUAUUUUACAAUUUUUUUACUGAUAAUGUCUGCAUCAGCUGUGACUCAAACUGUUUCUUACAUCCUCCUCAGCUGGUUGACACUGUGAUGGUUAAGAUUUAAGUAGAAUGUUGUUGGUGCAACAUGUGUGACAUUUGGAGCAUCUGCAGGUUGGACACAGAAAUAAUGAGUUAGUCCAUAGACUGAAUGUUGGAAAGCAGAUAUAUUAAUAUAGAAUGAUUAGUCCGAAAGAGGAUUCUAAAUGUUUCAUACUGCUCCACAUUUGCACUCUGCAUCCUGCAAGAAUAAUAAUGACUGGAGUCUCCAUUUUUUUCCAAAUAGCUUCCACAAAAACUUGUGCAUAUUUAUCCCAAAAUGUUACAUUCACAUUUGUUCUGUUUAACAUUACAAAGAAAUGUCAAUCAUUAUAAAUAGCAUAACCACUUUUUUUAGCUUCAGGAUUUACACUAACCUUCCAUCAGAUAUAACAAACUUAGCUUGUUCCUGUUGAAUUCCAUGCCUAUUUGUAAUCUGUUCAAGAAGAAUCUUAUGAUCCUUAAUAACACCGAUAACAUCUGUAAUUUCAGAUUUAUAUAAUCAGUGUUCCCAGUUUAAUAAGUAGGUCUGUAAUAUUUUAAAUCUAAAGCUUUCUUACCAAUGACAUAAGUUGUUUCAGUCAUGUAGUUCUUAAGUUCACUGAGAUCAUAAAAGUCAAAGAUCUCAGUUGCAAUUUGUGCUGCAGUUUCUUCAAUUUGCUGGAUCUUUGUGUCUGUUGUGAAAAUAAGCUGAUUAUCCCUCCGCACAACCCUAAACUUGUCUGUUUUUUUGUAGUCCUGUACAAUAAAACCUGUAAUAAUAUUGAUGCUUCCAACUCUGAUCUGCCUUUCCAAGUCAUAGGCACAGGUUGUUGGUACGAAAGCAUGUAUUGUAUUAUUCAGCAAAAUAUGCAAUUUAGUAGUAAUCUGUUCUGGUACUUAGAGCACAACUUCAUUUGUUAAAUCAUACAAUUUUAAUUGCAGUUUGAUUGUACUAACCUUGUUGUCUAGCAGCAGGAUGUUGAAGUUUUUGAAUUCUUCUCCAGUUUUCGUCGCUCCUCUCCAUUUGCGUAUGACUCGAACUUUUAUCUUGUAGUUAUCAACUCCUGUUUUGAGGUUUGCAAGAGCUGCAUAGCGUGAAGACAUUUUGCCUUUGGAUGCAGUUGAUAUGUUUUGGUAGAUUUCUCACAGUUUAUUGCAUGUGGUAUAUAUAGAGAUAACCUAAUCUGUGAAAUUUCAGCUGAUGCAAUUAAAGUGCAUAUUAAAUACCUCAACUUACUACUCCUGUGCAAGAUUAAAUACUGAUUUGGUAGGAAGCAGCUAUAUAGGUAUGCAAUUAUAUAAAACAAUAGUCCGAGUAGAUUAAAUAGUUAAGUUCCUGGACGCCAAAAAAUAGUACAAACAUAUUCAGCACAGUUUAGAAUAUUUAAACAGACAGAGUCAUAGAUUCAGAGAAAUUAUAACAAAAGUCUUGGAAACUCUGAAUUGUAUCAGAGACCGAAGUUUCAAAUUCUUCUUCAUUGGCAAAAGUAGUUGUUGACGUCCAGUACAAAGCAGUUACUCCUGAAAUUGGAUGACAGAAGUAAGGAAUUGGAUGACAGAAGUUACUACUGAAGUAGACUGCACUAAAAAUAUUGGGCAUAAAGACCUUUUUCUUCUUAUCCUUUUUGUUGAGCUUGGCUGGUGUAUCUUCUUUUGGAUCAAAUGCCACCGGCUCAAUAUCAACCCUUGGCCUUGUUUUUGUAGAAGAAAUUCCAGUUGUUGGUGUGCUGAGGUCGUCAUCUUUCAGCUUUGACAGCAGCGUAUCCAUCAGGAUCAACUUCAGGAUCUGGAAUCUCUGCUGAAACAAACUUGUCUACAUUUUCUUUUAAGAAUUUCUUAGAAGGACCAUCAAGCCAAAUUAACAUAUGAACGUGGGGUAGGCCGCGCUUUUGAAACUCCACCACAUACAUAACUGCAACAAAAUGAAUAAAUUGGUGAUUAAUGUUCAUUUCAUUACUGGUAUAUAAUUACUAUAUCAAACAUAAAAAAUGCAAAUUGGAUUACCUCCAACGCAUCUCCCAAAAUGUGACUUUUUUUUAAUAUCAUUUGUUAGCUGUUCCAGCUUCAACCGGAACACUCUGGAUAUUAUAUCGGGGCUGUUUGCAGAAAGACAGCCAGGUAGAUAAGCCAUCAUCCUCUGAAUCUCAUCCCACAUGGAAUUGCAAGUCAUGGUCAAAAAAAUAUCAGGAUGUCCUAUGUGACGACAGACAGCCAGUGCAUCCUGAAAAUUCUGUUGCAUGUAACGCUUGGAACCUACAUAUCCAGCUGGCAAAAUGACUCCUUUACCUACAUUGGAUGAGUUCCCAUCUCCAUUCCUAACAGAAUCACAGAUAUGGGUGUACAAUUCAUUUCGGAGGAUGGUUUGGUGUGUACGAAACCACCACAAUCGAGUCUGCUCCAUAGUAGAGAAUGCAUCGACCAUAUACUGUUGAAAAAGCCGCCCUCCUAAUCUAGGAGUUAUUCCUGUCCAAAAAAACAUAAAUGAAUAUAUUAAUAAGUAAAUCCAAAUAUGUACUAUAUUUGUAGUGUGCAUAAAUUAUUAUAGAUAAUGUGAUGAUCACCUUCAUUCUGUCUCACUUGGAAUUUGUAGGAGUAAUAAUCCUUCAUUGAUAUCAUGUCACGUUCUUUGUCUGAAUCUUUAUCUGCGCUCUGAAACCGUAUCCUAUUGUGAUAACCAUCCUCACCGUCGGGAAAAAGUAGGGGGUAUUGGAGAGCCAUGAGUUUAGGGUGAAUAUAUGAUAUUCUUUUCAAGCCACCAAAUUUCUGCUCAACUAUUAUAUCGCGGUCAGCAAUAGUACAGUCACUGCUACCAACCAUUAUACCCGCUACCUCGUCAGAAGAGGAAAUAUGAUUCUCUCUACCACUUUGUGCUCUGCAUACUUUGAGCUCUACCUUCAAAUCAACCAAGUCUGAAUUUUCAAAUCGAUCACGUGCCAUCCGAAACUUGGCCACCAAUUCAUUGGUCUGAUCCAACAUUUGUAUCAAUCCAUGAACCACAUCUGUAUCAACUGCUUGCUGGUCAGCAACACUAACCCAACGGAGGCGAUUAUUCACUUCAUUAGCUGUAUCGUAAAUGUAUAGCUGACAGUACUUGGGAGCUUGUCCAUCAUCGGGUAUUAACUGUCCAAAUACAUGGUGGUUCUGGCCAUUGAGUCUGUAAACAUAUGGUCCACGGCCAUUGUUGAUAGAGUGAUCAACAUUGCCACCACUCGAAGUAAAUGCAAACAUGGCAUUGUAGAGCCUUAUGUUUCGUUGAAAUUCAGCUGCUGUAUCUUUGUUAGUGUACAAAUACUUUAAGUAGGCAGGAGUUUGAGGAGAAGGUGGAAGCUUUACAUCACCCUUCUUGCAGCAAAUUGAGAAAACUGGAGCACCUUUUGUAACAUUUUUGUUGGUCCGUUCCUCUUUCCAUAGACGUGAAUUGCAUUUUGAACAUAUUGAUUCAGGACUACCAAGGCUCGCAUAAUCCUUUGGUAUGACUCUUGAAGUUUUAAAAGCUGUAUUCUGUUCUGCAUCUGGAAAAUUGUACACAUUCUAUACAUAGUCAAUGUAUAUAGAUUGUACUGACUACAUUUGUCUAUAAAAUUUGAAAAUGCACUCACCACUUUCAGAUUGUGGUUCCAUUCCAAAAGGAUAGUCAUCAUCACUACUGGAUUCUCCUGGAUAAUCAAUGUAUGGUCAGACAAUGUACCAAGCCUGAAAAAAUAGAAAGUAUAUUUUGUAUGACAGUAAUUGAAUAUUUACCACAUGAGAAAUCACUGUCCGAAUCAUCCGAUAAAACAGGGUGCUGAACUGUUGAACACUCUGAGGGUAGGCAACAAAAAAUAACAUCAGCAAACAAUGGAAACACAAAGCUGAACAAAAUUCCUGUAAUAUUAUUUUUGGUUUAGUAAAAAAUGUACCAAUAUCAUCAUCUGCAAAGUAUUUGGUGCUUGGUUCUUGAUUAGCAAAGCUAUCAUCAAACAAAUUCCUUGUUGUACUUUCAAGAUUACUUUUAGAAGCUCUUGAGAGCCAUUUUCUGCCUUGACCGAAAGGGCUCUCCUUUUCAUUAGUUAUGUUAGACAGUGGAAUUCUUGUAAGAGAGACAUCUUCCGGUGGUUGGCUAUUUAAACUACUCGUCUCUGCAUGAGCUUAUGUUGAACAAUUUGGUAUUGUUAGAUAACACAAACACAUACAUAUCUAUGUAUAAAUUUGAAAGCGAAGAAUAGUAUAGGAAACUAUUGUAAACAUUAUAAAGAAAUCAUACCAAGAUUAGUAUGAUUAGAUCGUGAAUCUAGUUUUCUGCGUUGAACAAAAUGUCUCUCCUUUUCAUUAGUUAUGUUAGACAAUGGAUUUCUUGUAAGAGAGACAUCUUCCAGUGGUUUGCUAUUUAAACUACUCCUCUCUGCAUGAGCAUAGAAGCACAAUUUGGUAUUGUUAAAUAACACAAACACAGCCAUCUAUAGAAAUUAUUUUCUUACCAAGUUUAUAAAGAAAUCAUACCAACAUUAUAAAGAAAUCAUACCAAGAUUAGUAGGUGACAAAGCAGAUAGAGGAUAUGUAAAUCUUCUUGCGGAGUUUCCAGAUAUGUUUUCUUUCUCUGCUGAAUUUUUUCGCUUUCGUGCACUUUUAGGUUUGUAUCCUAAGAAACAUAUGUUGCAUCAUGAACAAUACAAAAAACCACAAACAGAACUAAAGUGCAGGUUUAGGGUCAUCAAGAACAAACCUUGGAUCAUGUCUUCGGAGCUAAAAAGGCGCCAUGAUUUAGGAGUGUUCUCAUCCUAAUAAGAAAAUUAAACACAAACGUUAAGUCUACAUCUCCGAACAACAAAAUUAACUCAUAAAUUGUUUGAAGCAUACAUUUGACAUCGUCGAUCAAGCAAGCAAGCAAUCGCCAGUGGAAAUUUUUUUGGCCUCAAAAGUGUAAGAAAUUUAGGAUAAUAUCAUCUGUGGUUUAAAGCUUCUUUCGUACUCAUCUUAAAGCUUAAUUUCAAAAUUCAAUUGUAAAGUGUAGGUGUAUUAAAAAAUUUGCAGACGUGCAGCAGCUAAUUGUACUUGCUGGGUUUUGAAAUGGAGCUUCUUGAGGAAGCCUCAAGCCUGGUCUUGCAGUUUCUCUGUAUAAUAGAACUGAAUAUUUUGUUUAAAUGAAUUAACUAAAGAAAGUUUUAUCUAUGAGUAUAUAGUAUGUACGACGUAUCUAUCUUUUUACUCCCUCCGUCCCCCUGAGUAGUAUAUAUUGGGGAACGGGGACGCGGCACGGACUUUAAUGCUCCUGAAAAGUGUAGUUGUGCAAUUUAUUUUUAAAAUUUUUCUUUUCUGAAUUAAAGUCCUGAUGCUAUAUUUUUAUACAGAAAAAAAAAUCUCAAAAAUAAGUUACGGAACUAUAUUUUAUAAGAGCAUUUAAAUGCGUGUCGAGCAGUUAAAAAGAAACGUAUAGAAUUAAAUGGGACAGAGGGAGUAUUGUUUUAUUUUUAUUGUUUUACGUGCACAUGGUUCCAGCUUUUGCAACAUUAAGCCGCCAAACAUCAUGCAGCUGUGGUUUGGCAUAGGGCAGCCACAUGUCACACUGCUGUCCAAGUAAAUCAAUGGCAUGCUUGUAAUAAAGUCCAUGAUGAAUGGCAAUUCUAUAAGGGGCAGAAACUACUGUUGGAAUAACGCAACAGAAACUAUAAUAUACAUUGACUUGUUGUAGCAUUAUGUGAGAGUAUUCUCUUCGCCUUUUCACAUGCAUUUCUCAAUCUUCUCAAAGAUUUAGCAUUUCGACUGAUGUCCUUUCCAUACUUCCUUUUAAAUUCCUUCACAAAAUGGUCAAGCAAACGAUUGUCAAAAUCCUCGCCUCCAAGGUGAGUGUCUCCACCAGUAGCUAGCACUUCAAUAUUAUCCUUCUUAAUUUUGAGAACAGAAACAUCGAAUGUACCACCACCUAGAUCAAAAAUCAGAACAGUUUUCUCGCCUUCCAUUCCACUUGUAAGAUUUUUAUCAAGACCAUAAGCAACCGCAGCAGCGGUUGGCUCAACAAGAAGCCGCAACACAUUAAGGCCAGCUAUUGUUGCUGCAUCUUUGGUAGCCUGGCGCUGCGAGUCAUUGAAGUGCGCAGGGACUGUGACAACAGCAUUCUUCACUUUCUUUCCAAUGUAUUCUUCAGCAAUCUCCUUCAUCUUCAGAAGAACCAUUGAAGACAACUCCUCAGGGGAGAAUCGCCUCUCCUCACCUUUGUAAUUCACAACAAUUUUCGGUUUGUCACCAUUGUCACCAACAACCUUAAAUGGCCACAGCUUCAUGUCACUUUGAACUGUCGAAUCACAAAACCUCCUUCCAAUCAACCUUUUAGCAUCUGCAUGUACAAGCACAAUAUUGGAAAACGGAAAACGGAUUUUCUAAUGUGUGCCCAUGGACCGGGACGGAUCUAGAAAUUGAUAAUUGUGGAGGCAAAAAUGUUUAAACUUACAUCUGGUGAGAUUUUGUAUCAGUUAACACGUAAUAUAGGAAAUAAUUGAGGUACAAAAGCAAGCAAAUUAUAAUUAUUUUGAGGAAAAAACAUGGGCAAGAACCAAACCACACUUUUGGGUGUCAAUUUUAGGUCAUUUAUCGUGAAUAAUAACUAACAUUGAAAAUAUAUCUCAUAUACUAUAGAAUUGCUGAGAAUCCAUAGACAUACACUAACAACCAAUAUACAACUAUUAAGGAUUAAACAAUUAAACAAUUAAACGCCUGUCAACUUUAAGUCAUUUAUCACGAGGGUCAUAACUAACAUUGAAGAUGUAUCAUACGCAUAUACAAAAUUCAUCAGAUACUACCACUGCCUCACUGUCAAUUUGCCCAUCAUCACACACUAACAAUCAUUAUACAAUUAUUAACAGAGUAAAUAAACAAAGUGUAAACUAAAAUUAUAUUUUGUACCGAAUACAGUAUUGACAAGAUUCAAAGCAGACUGAUUCCGAGCAGCAUCGCCAAUGAAACGCUCCGUAUCAGUGAAAGCAACAUAGGACGGUGUAGUGCGGUUCCCCUGAUCAUUUGCAAUGAUUUCAACUCGAUCAUUUUGCCAAACACCAACACACGAGUAUGUUGUGCCUAGGUCUAUUCCAACCGCUACUUCAUUUUUCGCCAUCUUUACAUGCAAAACAUUACUAGUGUAUGCUUUAUAUAACUGAUCGUUUCCCGUUAUAGAGAAGUGCAACAGUUUUAUGGUGAUUCAAGUGCACAUUAACUCCAAACAAGUCUUUGUAUCCUACUCUCUUCCCAUCAACUGAUUACAUUCAUCGAAUCAUCUAUCAGUCCGUUUGGCUGAGCUCGGAUAAUUUUGAAUUUGAUUUAUAGAUUAUUAUAAAUGUGAUUUAUGUAUAAUGAUUUAUAGAUAAUUUUUAUCAAAAAAUACUGAAAAAAUUAAGUUACUAAAAAAAAGUAAAAUUGUAAUUCUGAACUAAAAAUAGAAAUUGUAUUAUAUAAUAAAAUUAUAAAUAAAAUAUUGUUCCUAAAUACAACCAUAGAGAAUUUUUUUUAUUCAAAAAGGUUUGCAAUCAGAAAAGAAUAUAUGCUUAACUAUUUAUCUAUGAAAAGAAAUUAAAUAUGACCUUAGAGAAAAGGUUUUUAUUCAAGUUUUAUUUUUACAAAUAUCUGUGCAUCCGUUUAAAGUACUCAACCAAAAGAUUUAACAAAUUCUUUUAACCAAAAGUAUCUUAGGCUCUUAGCAACCAGAAAUGUCAAAAAGGAUAUGCUUAAUUUCUUUGAACAAAUUCUUUUACCAUGAACUAGCUAUGUUUGGUAACUUGAUUGACAAUUCUGUGAAUAGAAAAGUGAAAUCAAACACACUGGAAGUAAUUAUAUUUUGUCAGCAAUGACUGCUUGUAGAUAAACAAAAAUGAGAUAAAUUUCUGAGAAUCCAAACAUAAUAAAUAGUUCAAAGCUAUCAAACAAUCAGGUUAUUCAAUUUCGUCAAUGCUGAGACCUCCCAUGCCAGGAAUGAGCUGGUUGCACAUUGCUUCAAAUUGUAGUUUCUUGUACUCAUACACAUAUUCUUCAGCAUCUCGGUUUGCAUCUAGCCACUCCAUAGCCUCCUUGAUAGAAUAACUUAUCAUCUUCUUAACUGAAGCUUUAAGACUGUAAUUUCCUUCGGUAUUGUCCCUCAUGUUAUAUACAUAAUUCUCAAAUGCCUGCAUUGCCUUGAUCUUUCUCUUAAACUCCUCAUCUUCAACCUUGAACUGCUCAGCAUCUCUUACCAUUCUUUCAAUCUCUGCCGCAGUGAGUGUUCCACUUUUCUUUAUUUUAAUGCUAUUUCUCACUCCAGUAUCCUCAUUCUCGGCAGAUACACUUAAUACCCCAUUGGCAUCAAUUGUAAAUGUUACCAAAAUCUUAACUUUACCCCUUGGGCCGGGAGGCAGGCCAUAUAGUUCAAACUCUCCAAGUAAAUUGUUGUCUUCAGUUCUGGUUCUCUCACCCUCGUAAACACGGAUCUUAACAGAUUUUUGAUCAUCACGAGAAGUACAACAUAAUUUUUCCAUUGAAGUGGGAAUUGUUUUGUUCCUCGGAAUAAUUACAGCCAUUAGUAUGCCUUGGGCUGCAAUCCCAAGAGACAAAGGAGUAACAUCAAGCAGAACCAAAUUCUUGAUCUUCUCAUGCCCCUCCCCGCUUAAUGUAGCAGCUUGAACAGCAGCACCAUAGGCAACAGCCUCAUCAGGAUUUAUGUUCUUACAGAGUUCUUUCCCAUCAAAGAACUGCUGCAAAAGUUGUUGCACUUUUGGAAUUCUAGUAGAUCCACCAACAAGUACAACAUCAUGGACCCUGCUUUGGUCCAUCUACGCGUCUUCUAGACACUUUCCCACUGUAUCCAAACAACUUUUGAACAGGUCCAAGUUUAACUCCUCAAAUCUAGCUCGGGUGAUUUUGGUGCUAUAGUCAAUUCCUUCAUACAAAGAAUCUAUAUCAAUACUCGUCGUAGCAUUAUGUGAGAGUAUUCUCUUCGCCUUUUCACAUUCAUUUCUCAAUCUUCUGAAAGAUUUAGCAUUUUGACUGAUGUCCUUUCCAUACUUCCUUUUAAAUUCCUUCACAAAAUGGUCAAGCAAACGAUUGUCAAAAUCCUCACCUCCUAGGUGAGUGUGACCAGCAGUAGCUAUCACUUCAAUAUUAUCCUUCUUAAUUUUGAGAAGAGAAACAUCGAAUGUACCACCACCUAGAUCAAAAAUCAGAACAGUCUUCUCGCCUUCCAUUCCACUUGUCAGAUUUUUAUCAAGACCAUAAGCGACUGCAGCAGCUGUUGGCUCAACGAGGAGCCGCAACACAUUAAGGCCAGCUAUUGUUGCUGCAUCUUUGGUAGCCUGGCGCUGCGAGUCAUUGAAGUGCGCAGGGACUGUGACAACAGCAUUCUUCACUUUCUUUCCAAGGUAUUCUUCAGCAAUCUCCUUCAUCUUCAGAAGAACCAUUGAAGACAACUCCUCAGGGGAGAAUCGCCUGUCCUCACCUUUGUAAUUCACAACUAUUUUCGGCUUGUCACCUCUGUCACCAACAACCUUAAACGGCCACAGCUUCAUGUCACUUUGAACUGUCGAAUCAUAAAACCUCCUUCCAAUCAACCUUUUAGCAUCUGCAUGUACAAGUACAAUAUUACAGUACGAAUUUUCUAAUGUGUGCCCAUCGACCCGGAUGGAUCUAGAAAUUGGUAAUUGUGUGGGCAAAAAAGUUUAAAACAUAUAACUGAUUCAAUAUCAGUUUAAACAUAAUAUAGGAAAAAAAUGAGGUACUAGAGCAAGCAAUUUGAUAUUUUAUUAUGAUAAAAAAACACACGCAAGAAUCAAAUCAAAACCAAUAUUAGGUCUUUUAUGAUGUGACGAUAACUCAACAUUAAAAAAAUAUCAUACAUAUAUAGACAAUAAGGACAAGUAUCCCCACUAUAAAUCCGGCCCUGCACAUCAUCACACACUAACAAUCACUACACAACUAGUAUUAACACAGUAAAUAAACAAAGUGUAAACUAAAAUUAUAUUAUGUACCAAAAACAGUAUUCACAGGAUUCAAAGCAGACUGAUUCCGAGCAGCAUCGCCAAUGAAACGCUCAAUAUCAGUGAAAGCAACGACCGACGGUGUCGUGCGGUUCCCCUGAUCAUUGGCAAUGAUCUCAACUCGAUCAUUUUGCCAAAUACCAACACAGGAGUACGUGGUGCCUAGGUCUAUUCCGACCGCUACUUCAUUUUUCGCCAUUUUUACAGGCAUGUGUAUUAUAGUGUAUGCUUUAUACAAUUCAUCGUCAUAGUUGCUAAAUACAGUUCAAAAUUACUUUGUGCAGUUCAUAGAGAUUACUAAUAUAUCCUUCUUAGUCUGUAACAGUGUACAAGAUUAAAUCAGCUCUAGUAUUUUGUGCACAUAAACAACAUUAAUAUACACGAUCAAUACAUUCAUAGGCUGACUAACUUGAAACAUAAGUUUGUAGCUAAUCAGUUUUUUUUUAAAAAAAAGCUGUGAUCAUUAUCUGCUAAUUUUUUUUUUCUUAUUAGUUUUUCAACAUUACUUAUCCUUUCUCAACUUUAAUCUAAACAAUAUAAAAUUUUGAUGCUUAUUUGCAUUUUUGUAUAAUGUAAUUUUUAAUAUGUAUUAAGAAUUUAAAAAUAAAUUUUUUAAAUUUUUUUUUGACUUUACAUAUAAUUUUAUAAUUAAGAUACUUGAAUUUAUAUAUAAUUUUAUAGACGCUUUUAUUUUCUUAUAAAUGUGUUUAAUUUUCUUACUUUAUUCAUUCUCGUUUAAUGAAAAAACUUAUAAUUUCGAGAUUAUAUUAUUUGGACCAUAACCGUUAGGGUUGGGAUGGACUACAAUCCCAAUAACAUAAAAUAUCCAAAAAUUGACACUAGUGAGUGAUAUAAUAUUUUAGCCAAAACAAAAAAUACUUGAUUUUUUUAUAAUAUAACCUUCAGCUGGCGUAGAAUCUUUAAUAUGUAUUAACAAUUUAGAAGAUAAUUUGUAUAUAUAACUUUUUUUUCAUAUAAUUUAAUUUGAUUUUAUGUAUAAUUUUAUCAUUAAAAUAUUUUACUUUAUAUAUAAUUUUAUCCUCCUUUGUAAUUUUUGAUCGAUAUCUUUAAAUUAUUUUAUAAUUUAACCUUUAGCCGGCCUAGAACAUUUAAUAAAAAUUUAGCAUUUUAAUAUGUUAUAUGUUUCUCCCAUUCUUUAAUUUUUCAAUUCUUUAAUUUAGAUAAGAACUUGAAUAUAUCUAUAUAUAUAUAAAUAAAUAAAAUAAUUAAUCUAAAAAUAAAAGAUUAAAAAUAUUAUGAAAGUAAUUUUUAAUGUGAUUUUAAUUUUUUUGUGAUUGAAAAUUACUUUUUGCACAAAAUUUUAAAAUGUAUUAAAAUUUAUAAAAACGAAUGAUUCUUUAAUAGUCAAUAAUUAUAGUAAUUCACAAUAUUAAAUAUACAAAACUAUUAGACUAUUUAAAAUGUGAUCAUAUUUUAUCAUAUAUUUUUGAAAAGAAUACAUAUUUUAUAAUAAAAAACUAAUUAAUUUAAAAUUUAAAAUUUAAAAAGUAAGAAUUAUUUGAAGUUUCCAAUUAGUGCCAUAACAUAGUGUUGUUCUGCGUGCAAAUAUACACAUACCCCAGACCCGCAGCCUGUAUGUUACUCUGGUGUACGUUGAAAUCGACGUAUUUAUUAGGGUUUCGCUCAUUUAAUAAAUCAAAGGUUAAAUUUGUAAUUCCUGCGAACUGCACCAAGGAAAAAUGGAGUGUAUUUAGCAACACCCUUGAUCGUUCCACGUUAUAGAGAAGUGCAACAGUUUUACGGUGAUUCAAGUGCACAUUAACUCCAUACAACUCUUCCCAUCAACUGAUUACAUUCAUCGAAUCACAUCAUCUAUCAGUCCGUUUGGCUGAGCGGCUCAUUUGUCCUUAUCCUGAGUUAACGUGAUAAGCUGGAAUUAUGUUCCGAUAAUUUUGAAUUUGAAUUAUAAAUUAUUAUAAAUGUGAUUUAUGUAUAAUGAUUUAUAGAAAAUUUCUGAAAAAAUUAAGUUACUAGGAAAAAUAUUUUAAACUAAUUUUAAGUUGGUGUCUGAUUUAUAUCUGAUUUUAAUUCACUUUUUUACUUUAUUACACAAAAAACAGUUUAACAUCGGAAACAACUCUAAGCCUAUCGGUUAAAGCCGAGACAAAUCUCUAUAUUAAAGAGAAAUUCAAAUUCAAUUAUAAAUUCUAAGAAAUUAAAAUAGUAAUUUUAUAUUAAAAAUAGUAAUUUUAAAAUAUAAUAUAAAUAUUGUUCCUAAAUACAAUCAAAAAUAAAUUUUAUUCAAAAAGGUUUUAAUCAAAAAAAUUAUAUUCUUAAGUAUUUAUCUAUGAAGAGAAAUUAAAUAUAGCCUUAAGGAAAAGGUUUUAUUCAAAUUUUACUUGUAUCAACUAUCAUUAUUCUUUGCUAAAACAAUCUUAUAAUAUUUAUCUUCCUUUUCUUCCGAUAUACAAAUUUUACACAAAUUUUGAUGUUAACUUUAUUAAUUUAAAUAAUUUUCGUGAAGUACAAAGUAAAUAAUGCUUGAUUUUGAUAAAGUUUCGUUGUAAUAGUCUCGAUGUUAACUUUAUUAAUUCACAUAAUUAUCACUAAUUACAAUGUAAAUAUUUGAUUUCAAUGAAAAAUUCAAAUUUGGUGAAAUUUAAAUUCUAGUAUAAAUUUGAAUUUUAAAAUAGCAAUUUUGUUAUAUAAUUGAAAAUAUUGUUUUAAAAUAUGAAAAAUUUCUUUUAUUCAAAAAAGUUUGUAAUUAGAUAGAAUAUAUUCUUGAGUGAUAAGUUUUUGAAGUAUUACCAAUGAAAAGAAAUUAAAUAUGAGAAAAGGUUUAGUCAAGUUUUAUUUGUGCCCAACUUAUAAACUAUCACUAAUAUUUGUAUUCUUUUUCUUCAUAUACAAAUUUAUACAAAUUUCAUUGUUAAUUUUAUUAAUCCACAUAAUUUUCACGAAUUACAAUGUGAUGAUGUUGAUUUUGGUGAAACUUAGUUAUAUUUUUAUAUGGAUAUUUCUUGUGUGUGUUAUACUGGGUAUCUUUCUACUCGGAUCAUAUUAUUUUUAGGUUUAAAUUUGGGUCGGGAUCAUUUUAUUUGAAUAUAAAUUGAUUCUAGAAAUUUAGGAUCCGGAUCUGAACUGAAUAUGAGUCAAUAUCGUAUUUUCUAUUUUUUUAACCAGGUAGUUUAUGAUCCACCGAGUAUGAGCCGGAUAUGAUCCACUAACAUUAAAUAUCAUUAUUAUUUAAAUAAUUAUCAUUUAUCUGUAAUCCUAUAAAAAUAUAAUAAUUAUAAAUUAAAACUUACAAUUAUAUGUAUGUAUAUAUAAUUUAUUAAAUAUAUAUAUAUGACGAUAAUAUGCAUUAUCACGGAGAAUAAAUUAUAUUUUGUGAAGAUUUAAACUUAAAUGAGAUAUUAAAAGUUUAUAAAACGAUGACUAUUUACUUACGAAUGUAAUGAGUUAAAAAUAUAAUUUGUAUGUGAGUUCGAAUUGAAUAUGAACCAUAGAUGAUACUCGGGUAGGAUCAUAUUAUGAAAAAUAAUAUGAUACCUAAUGUGAGCGGGUAUAUGAGUACUUAUAUCCGGGAUCGUAUAUUAUUCGGGUUUAAUUUUUUAUUGGAUUGCUUUCAAAACGAAUAUGAGAUAUGAAACGAAUAUGAGCCGUAUAUAAGCCGUGACACUGGAUAGUGACAUAUUUAUAAUGUUAAAUAUUUUUGUGACUUACAAAAGAUCCUCGUCAUUAAUGAGAUUGGAGCCAAUAAAAACUCAAUACCAAAAUGAAAAGUGAACACACACUAGAAAAAUCAUUUUUAUAUAAUCAAUAAAACUAGAAUAAAAAUGUUACUCCCUCCUUCCUAUUUAAUCCUCUUCUUUGCAAAUUUCACACAUUAAUAAAUAUUAAAUGUGAUGUCUUAUUAUUGUUGUCAUCACUAAAAUUGUAUUAAUUAUACAUGAAUAUAACUAAUUUUUUACCCAUUCUAUUAGAAUUACAUAAUUAUUUGCUUAAAAAAUUUUGAAGCUGUGUAAAUCUAUCUAUAUAAUAAUAUAUGUUAAAGUAUAAUGAGGAAUUUAUCCAUUGGGUCAAGAUUUACCCGGUGGAUCGGAAUUAACACUAGCUUCCCUUUAAUUUUGACAAAUCCGUGAAGUAGAUGAUCCAUUUAGCAUGUUUCAGAUAAUCUUAAUAUCCUUAUUUCAUGCAAUGUUGAAUUUAACUAUAUUUCGACUCGUGGGCACUUUCGCUGCAACAAUGUACUCAACUUGACCCUGGCAUAUCGGUAGAGCCAUUGAGCUUCAAGUACUCCACUUCUGUGAAGGAAAAGGUUAAGUAAAUGCCUAGACUAAAUUUUUCCACAAGUAAAAAUAAGUACUGAUGAAAUAAUGAAUUGAUAAUUCUCCAGUACUUCUAAAAACAAUUAACCAAAAUAUAAUAAAAUAGUUCAAAUCUUGCUAUCAAACAAUCAGGUUACAAUGCUGAUACCUCCAUGCCAGGAAUGAGGUGGUUGCACAUUGCUUCAAAUUGCUGUUUCUUGUAAUCUCGGUUUGCAUCUAGCCACACAAUAGCCUCCUUGAUAGAAUUCUUAACAUCUUCUUAACAGAAGCAUUAAGACUGUAAUUUCCUACGGUAUUGUUCCUCGUGUUAUAUACAUAAUCCUCAGAUGCCUGCAUUGCUCUAAUCUUUCUCCUAAACUUCUCAUCUUCAACCUUGAACUGCUCAGCAUCUCUUAUCAUUCUUUCAAUCUCCGUCGCGGUGAGUGUUCCACUUUUCUUUAUUUCAAUGCUACUUCUCAGUCCCUUUACCCUGUUCUCCGCAUAAACAUGUAAUACCCCAUUGGAAUCAAUUUUAAAAGUUACAGAAAUCUUAACUUGACGCCUUGGGCCUGGAGGCAGGCCAUAAAGUGCAAACUCUCCAAGUAAAUUGUUGUCUUCAGUUCUGGUUCUCUCACCCUCGUAAACACUGAUCUUAACAGAUUUUUGAUCAUCACGACUAGUACAGAAUAAUUUUUGCAUUGAAGUGGGAAUUGUUGAGUUCCUCGGAAUAAUUACAGCCAUCAGUUGGCCUUCGACUGCAAUCCCAAGAGACAAAGGAGUUACAUCAAGCAGAACCAAAUUCUUGAUCUUCUGAUGACCCUCCCCGCUUAAUGUAGCAGCUUGAACAGCAGCACCAUAGGCAACAGCCUCAUCAGGAUUUAUGUUCUUACAGAGUUCUUUCCCUUCAAAAAACUGCUGCAACAGUUGUUGCACUUUUGGAAUUCUAGUUGAUCCACCAACAAGUACAACAUCAUGGACCCUGCUUUGGUCCAUCUCCGCGUCUUCCAGACACUUUCCCACUGUAUCCAAACAACUUUUGAACAGGUCCAAGUUUAACUCCUCAAAUCUGGCUCGGGUGAUUUUGGUGCUAUAGUCAAUUCCUUCAUACAAAGAAUCUAUGUCAAUAGUCGUCGUAGCAUUAUGUGAGAGUAUCCUCUUCACCUUUUCACAUUCAUUUCUCAAUCUUCUCAAAGAUUUAGCAUUUCGACUGAUGUCCUUUCCGUACUUCCUUGUAAAUUCCUUCACAAAAUGGUCAAGCAAACGAUUGUCAAAAUCCUCGCCUCCAAGGUGAGUGUCGCCAGCAGUUGCUAGUACUUCAAUAUUAUCCCUCUUAAUUUUGAGAAGAGAAACAUCGAAUGUACCACCACCUAGAUCAAAAAUAAGAACAGUCUUCUCGCCUUUCAUUCCACUUGUAAGAUUUUUAUCAAGACCAUAAGCGACUGCAGCAGCUGUUGGCUCAACAAGGAGCCGCAACACAUUAAGGCCAGCUAUUGUUGCUGCAUCUUUGGUAGCCUGGCGCUGCGAGUCAUUGAAGUGCGCAGGGACUGUGACAACAGCAUCCUUCACUUUCUUUCCAAGGUAUUCUUCGGCAAUUUCCUUCAUCUUAAGAAGAACCAUUGAAGACAACUCCUCAGGGGAGAAUCGCCUCUCUACACCUUUGUAAUUCACAACUAUUUUCGGCUUGUUACCAUUGUCACCAACAACCUUAAACGGCCACAACAUCAUGUCAUUUUGAACUGUCGAAUCGGAAAACCUCCUUCCAAUCAACCUUUUAGCAUCUGCAUGUAUAAGAAGAAUAUUAAAAAAAACGGAUUUUCUGAUGUGUCCAUCCACGGGGACGGAUCUCGAAAUUGGUAAUUGUGUGGGCAAAAAAGUUAAAACAUAUAACUAGUGAGAUUUAAAAUCACUAAACAUAAUAUAGGAAAAAAAUUGAGAUACAAGAGCAAGCAAAUUGAUAUUUGUUUUUUUGAGAAAAAAAUACUAACAACAAUCAAAUCAAAACCACGCUCUUGGGUAUCCAUUUUAAGUCAUUUAUCAUGGGAAAAUAAAUAACCAUUAAAGAUAUAUCAUACAUAUACAGACAGCGAGGACAAGUAUCCUCAUUAUAAAUCCGUCUUUGCCAUCGGCACACACUGACAAUUACUACAAAAUUAUUAACACAGUAAAUACACAAAGUGUAAACUAAAAUUAUAUUUUGUACCAAAAACAGUAUUCACAGGAUUCAAAGCAGACUGAUUUCGAGCAGCAUUGCCAAUGAAACGCUCUGUAUCAGUGAAAGCAACAUAGGACGGUGUCGUGCGGUUCCCCUGAUCAUUUGCAAUGAUCUCAACUCGAUCGUUUUGCCAAACACCAACACAGGAGUACGUGGUGCCUAGGUCUAUUCCGACCGCUACUUCAUUUUUCACCAUUUUUACAGGCAUGUGUAUUGUGGAGAAGUGCCCAGUUUUAUGGUGAUUCAAGUGCACAUAAACUCCAAACAAGUCUUUGUAUCCUACUCUCUUCCCAUCAACUGAUUACAUUCAUCGAAUCAUCUAUCACCCAUUUGGUUGAGCAGCUCAUUUGUCCUUAUCUUAAGUUACUGUGAUAAGUUGGAAGUCUAUUUAGAUAAUUUUGAAUUUGACUUAUAAAUUAUUAUGAUUAUAAUAAAAAUAAAUGUGAUUUAUGAAUAAUGAUUUAUAGAUAACUUUUAUUAAAAAGAAAUUGAAAAAACUAAGUAACUUAAAAAAAUAUUUCAAACUAAUUUCAAGUCAAUUUAUGAUUUAUUUAUGAUUUUAAUUUAAUUUCUACUUUAUUACACAAGACAUUUUUCGGUUUAAAAUUAAAAACAAAUAUAAGCCUCUCGAUGAAAGCCGAGACAAAGCUCUACAUCAAAGAUAAAUUCAAAUUCUUAUGUAAAUUUAAAAAAUUAAAAUAGUAAUUCUAAACUAAAAAUAGAAAUUGUAUUAUAUAAUAAAAUUAUAAAAUAUUGUUCCUAAAUACAACCAUAGAGAAUUUUUUUUAUUCAAAAAGGUUUGCAAUCAGAAAAGAAUAUAUGCUUAACUAUUUAUCUAUAAAAAGAAAUUAAAUAUGACCUCAGAGAAAAGGUUUUUAUUCAAAUUUUAUUUUUACAAGUAUUAAUAUGCCAUUCAACAUAUAUCAGUAGUUCUGCCGAAUGUUUAUCAUCCAACUUUUGAUGCAGUCUUAAACGACGAGUAGUUGGCUUAAUAAUGGAUGAACUAAAAGGAGUAGUAGUUCUGUGGGAAUGUUUUGUUCAGAUUUAAAGGUUUUCGAUUCAUUAAAGUGUUUAAUAGAAGGAGAGUGAUUAGAUAUUAAUAAAACUCAGCAAGAAUAUAUUUAACCAAGUUGUAAUUGCUGCUAUUAGUUUAUAGGCAUGACUGCAUGGGAUACAUUUUAAAUACCUCAAGGCCAUUUUGUUCCCGGAGAAGUAGUGAUCACUUGACUCAGAGAGUCAAGGGCCUCAUUUUUAAGAUUUGCUUAGGGCCCCAAAUUUGGUUGAGACGGCCCUGCUUCUGACCAAGUGUUUUCAAUUUAAGAUCCUGGCAACAAGGUUUUGGAAGAUUUCGUAACUUAAAACCUAGCUGCUUGGCAUAUCUUCAAUUGACACAGGUAUAUGGACAUGUGUACAGGAAAUUUAACUAUGCUUCGACUCGUGGCUAAUAAUGUUGGGGCCUUUCACUUUCGCUGCAACAAUUUAAGUCUGUAACCAGCUCAAAUCAUGAAGCCAAAUAAUAUUGCCUUUGCAUCUCCAAAUGCAAAGUCAUCCUUUUGAUGAAAAUAACUGAUUAAAUUUGUCUCCUAGAAGAGUUGGUUUUAUCCUCCAAUGGGAUUCCCACUUAUUUAAUUUGUUAUUACUAUGUUUUAUCAGCAAUGAUUGUUUAUAGAGAUCUCAACUCCUGAGCCUGUUUUGGUGAAAAGGCUUCAGCGUGUAGUUCGAAUAAACUCUGUCAUUUAAAAUCUUAUAUUGUUAAUUAAUUUUUCUAUUGAGGUCAAGAUUAAAGUUCAUUAAUGUAAAAAAAUCAGAAAAACAUUAACAAAAUUUUCAAAUUCCUAAUUUUUAGUGGGGUGCACUGGUGCAGAUAAACCUUGAGCAUUUUUCUGUUCUCAGAAAGUUGGUGAAAAUAUGUAAGCCAAUAGUUAAGUUGUUCUUCAUGAGGAUACCUGCAAUGGGGUUGAUUAUCAUCUACUAGACAGAAGCUUCUAGUUUGUAAUUUCUUUCGGGUUCGUCCCUCAUUUUAUAUACAUAAUUCUCAAAUGCCUGCAUUGCGUUGAGCCUUCUGUUAAAGCCCUUAUCUUCAGCCUAGAACUGGUCAGCAUCUUUCACCAUUCUUUCACAUUCUCCCUUCAUGAGCGCUCCUAUUUUGUUGAUUUAAUGCAAUUCUUUAGUCCAGUAUCCUUAUUCUCCGCGGAAACGUUUGAUACCCCUUUGGCCACAAGGCAGGCUAUAUAGUUUAAACUUUCUGAGUAAAUUGUUCUGUCCUGUUCUUGCUCUCACCCUCGUAAACACUCAUCUUAACGAAAUUCUUCCUAGUGGUAUGAAAUUCUUCCUGGAUUGGUCAAUUUCGUGUCAAAAAAUCAACAUCAAUAGUUGUCCCAAGUAUUAUGUGAGAGGAUUCUCUUCAUCUAUUUCAAAAGCGUUUCUCAAUUUUCUUAAAGAUUUAAAAUUUCAACUAAUGUCCUUUCUCUUCCUCCGUUUAAAGUAGUCAACACAUUAAUUUAGCAAACGAUUAUUGAAUCUUCACCUCCAAGGUGAGUGCCACCAGCAGUAGCUAGUAUUUCAAAAUUAUCCUUUUAAUUUUGGGAAAUUGUCAAAAGUACCAUCACCGAGAUCAAAGAUAAGGACAAUUUUCUAUACUUCGCAUUACCUGAUUCAAGGAUUGCUCCAGAUUGCACACUAAUGGAGUCCUUACAAAUACUAGAAAACACAGUUUCUAUGUUUUAUACAGAAGUUUAAAAAUAUUCCAUGAGCAAACAUAAAAGGAUUAUGGUUAUGACUGAGGAGUAGACUAGCACUGAGUUCGGUCCUGAAAAACUGAACUAUGUUUCAACUUAUGGGGACCAGUGCCUGCAAGCGAGAAGAUUAUAUAUUUACAUAAGGUCCUGAUUUAAGAACCUAAACAUCUUAGGCUCUUAGCAAUCAGAAAUGUCGAAAAGGAUAUGCUUAAUUUCUGUGAACAAAUUUUUUUUACCAUGAACUAGCUAUGUUUGGUAAGUUAAUUGACAAUUCUGCAAAUAGAAAAGUGAAAUCAAACACACAGGAAGUAAUUAUAUUUUGUCAGCAAUGAUUGCUUGUAGAUUAACCAAAAUAAGAUAAAAUUCUGAGAAUCCAAACAUAAUAAAUAGUUCAAAGCUAUCAAACAAUCAGGUUAUUCAAUUUCUUCAAUGCUGAUACCUCCCAUGCCAGGAAUGAGGUGGUUGCACAUUGCUUCAAAUUGCUGUUUCUUGAACUCGUACUCAUAUUCUUCAGCAUCCCGGUUUGCAUCUAGCCACUCGAUAGCCUCCUUGAUAGAAUAACUUAUCAUCUUCUUGACGGAAGCUUUAAGCCUGUAGUUUCCUUCAGUAUUGUCCCUCGUGUUAUAUACAUAAUCCUCAAAUUCCUGCAUUGCUCUAAUCUUUCUCCUAAACUUCUCAUCUUCAACCUUGAACUGCUCAGCAUCUCUCACCAUUCUUUCAAUCUCUGCCGCCGUGAGUGUUCCACUUUUCUUUAUUUUAAUGCUAUUUCUCACUCCAUUAUCCUCAUUCUUGGCAGAUACACUUAAUACCCCAUUGGCAUCAAUUGUAAAUGUUGCCAAAAACUUAACUUUACCCCUUGGGCCUGGAGGCAGGCCAGAUAGUUUAAACUCUCCAAGUAAAUUGUUGUCUUCAGUCCUUGCCCUCUCACCCUCGUAAACACUUACUUUAACGAUUUUCUGAUCAUCACUACAGGUAUAAUACACUUUUUGCAUAGUAUUUGGAAUAGUUGUGUUUCUUGGAAUAAUUACAGACAUCAGUCCGCCUUCAAUUGCAACCCCCAGAGACAGAGGAGUAACAUCUAGGAGAACCAAAUUCUUGAUCUUCUGAUGACCCUCCCCGCUUAAUGUAGCAGCUUGAACAGCAGCACCAUACGCGACAGCCUCAUCAGGGUUUAUAUACUUGCAAAGUUCCUUCCCUUCAAAAAACUGCUGCAACAGUUGUUGCACUUUUGGAAUUCUAGUAGAUCCACCAACAAGUACAACAUCAUGGACACUGCUUUGGUCCAUCUCCGCGUCUUCCAGACACUUCUCCACAGUAUCCAAACAACUUCUGAAAAGGUCCAAGUUUAAAUCCUCAAAUCUGGCUCGGGUGAUUUUGGUGCUAUAGUCAAUUCCUUCAUACAAAGAAUCUAUAUCAAUAGUCGUCGUAGCAUUAUGUGAGAGUAUU